CUGUAGCUCAGUUGGAUAGAGCAGUUGUUUCCUAAACAAUUGGUCGGAGGUUCAAAUCCUCUCAG
rnacentral:tRNA from 1 species